CUAUAACGGUCCUAAGGUAGCGAAAUUCCUUGUCGGGUAAGUUCCGACCUGCACGAAUGGCGUAAUGAUGGCCAGGCUGUCUCCACCCGAGACUCAGUGAAAUUGAACUCGCUGUGAAGAUGCAGUGUACCCGCGGCAAGACGGAAAGACCCCGUGAACCUUUACUAUAGCUUGACACUGAACAUUGAGCCUUGAUGUGUAGGAUAGGUGGGAGGCUUUGAAGUGUGGACGCCAGUCUGCAUGGAGCCGGCCUUGAAAUACCACCCUUUAAUGUUUGAUGUUCUAACGUGGACCCGUGAUCCGGGUUGCGGACAGUGUCUGGUGGGUAGUUUGACUGGGGCGGUCUCCUCCUAAAGAGUAACGGAGGAGCACGAAGGUUGGCUAAUCCUGGUCGGACAUCAGGAGGUUAGUGCAAUGGCAUAAGCCAGCUUGACUGCGAGCGUGACGGCGCGAGCAGGUGCGAAAGCAGGUCAUAGUGAUCCGGUGGUUCUGAAUGGAAGGGCCAUCGCUCAACGGAUAAAAGGUACUCCGGGGAUAACAGGCUGAUACCGCCCAAGAGUUCAUAUCGACGGCGGUGUUUGGCACCUCGAUGUCGGCUCAUCACAUCCUGGGGCUGAAGUAGGUCCCAAGGGUAUGGCUGUUCGCCAUUUAAAGUGGUACGCGAGCUGGGUUUAGAACGUCGUGAGACAGUUCGGUCCCUAUCUGCCGUGGGCGCUGGAGAACUGAGGGGGGCUGCUCCUAGUACGAGAGGACCGGAGUGGACGCAUCACUGGUGUUCGGGUUGUCAUGCCAAUGGCACUGCCCGGUAGCUAAAUGCGGAAGAGAUAAGUGCUGAAAGCAUCUAAGCACGAAACUUGCCCCGAGAUGAGUUCUCCCUGACCCUUUAAGGGUCCUGAAGGAACGUUGAAGACGACGACGUUGAUAGGCCGGGUGUGUAAGCGCAGCGAUGCGUUGAGCUAACCGGUACUAAUGAACCGUGAGGCUUAACCUUACAACGCCGAAG
rnacentral:rRNA from 1 species